CCCGGGUCCGCGCCUGCCCCGUUGCUUUCCUCAGGCUCUGAGGCCCGCGGUGCGGAGCGCGGCGUAGGCAGCGGGGAGUGGGCGGCGCGGGGUGGGUGGAGUGGGUCGGCGGCGGGGAUCCUGCCGAGCCCGCAGCUGCCCUCUUUCAGCGCCGUGUCUCCUCCCCGGCCCUGGCUCGUCCCACCUCAGCCACAGCCCGGCCCCCUGGCCGGCCGAGCUCUCGCCGCCGGCGCCCUGGGGACCUCGUGGGUGUGGCCGGCGGCGACCUCGGCAGGCGACAGCCCAGCAGACGGGCACCAGGUGGACGUGCCAGUCUCCAGACCCCCGUCCCGGUGCAGGGAAGGUGGGCGUUUGGACCCCUGAGGCAGAAACAGGUGCGGCCCCGCGAGGGACGCUGACUUCGUUCCCCUGGAGCCUGCGUCGGGGCCCGCGCUGGGCUGAGAAUUACGGGAACGCCGUGAGAGUUUGCAUUCCGAGGAUUUGGUCUGAGAACCUCACCGGCGAAGUAGAGAACUGCCCCCGGGAGAGCCGGCCCACGUGCCGCCCACCGGCGCCUUGACGGCAGGGAGAGGUCGAGCUUCCAGGGAGCGGGCGCCCGGCGCGGGGCUCCCAGCCUGUCUGUACCUGGUCGAGACACCCCGUGCCAGAGGCGGAAUGUGUAUGAAAUGCCAGGUUCCCAGAGGACCCAGGCAGUCCGUCAUUCACAUACCAACCCACGUGCAGGCUUCAAUUCAACGUUGAAGCCAUUUGGGCCUGGGCUUUUUUGAUGACUUAUUUGAUUCAUAGUUUUUUGGUUACUAAUUGAGUCUCUUCACUUGUUAUAGGUCUGUUGAGAUUGUCUAUUUUUUCUUGAGUCAGCCGUCUGAAAAGAACACGAGGUGGACAGGGCAGAGCGGUCAAGGAAAGCCAUAGGAGGAGGGCACUUACUUGAGCAAAGACCGGCGGGACGUGGGCAUCGAGGGUAAGGAUAUCUGCAGAAGUAGUGUCUUGAGCGAGGAGCACGGCAGACAGAGCCUCUGAGACACGAGAGCCUGGAGUGUAAGAAACACAGCAGAGGCCACUAAGUCGAGAACGCAGGAGCUGGAAGGACUGGAAACGGGCAGCCUUCGGAAGACUGAGCACACGGAAGGAUAUGACUAACCCUUUAAAAGGGUCAUUCUGACUCCUGGAUGAAGAACAGACUAGGGAGGGCUGAGAAGGAGGCAGGAGGCCAUCCACUGUCAUAUGGGAUGUGGAGUGUGACCCGGAAAGGUCAAGUGUGACUCUAAGGGCUUUUUGUAUACUGAUCUUUUAUCCUGCAACCUUGCUAAACCCAUUUAUUAGUUCUUCUUGUCUUUUAGUGGCAUUUAUUAGUUGUUCUAGUCUUUUAGUGGAUUCCUUGGGAUUUUAUACAAAAGCGUGUCAUCUGUGAAUAGAGAUCAAUUUAUCUCUUCCUUUCUAAUCUGGAUGCCUUUUAUUUCUUCUCCCUGCCUAGCUGCCCUGGCUAGAAGCUCCAGUACAACAUUGACUAGAAGCAGCAAGAGUGGACAUCCUUGUCUUGCUCCUGAUUUCAGGGAGGAGGCAUCCAGUCUUUCACCUUUGGGCAACCAACUGCUGCAGCAGCAUCAGCAGUGUCUGGGACUCCACCUCCUACAGAAGUCGUGGAUGUCUCACAUCACAUCACCAUUGCUGCAGAUGCCACAGAAUACCAUUCUGCUCAUCAUUGCUCCAAAAUUACCGUAACUCCUAGACCAGCUGCUUGAUUACAUUAUUUAAUGCAUUCAUAAAGAAGCACAUGCAGUACUGUACCACCAUUUAAAAUUUGUGAUGAAAGUACUUUAAUUUCAUUUUUAAUUUUGUAGGCAUUAAAAGCAUUAUCUGAAUCUCAAAGAAAAGUCCAAGACCUGAUGGUUUCCUGGUGAAUUCCACCAAACGUGUAAAGAACUAAUACGAGCCCUUCAUAAACAUUUCCAAAAAACUGAAGAGAAGGGAACACUUCUUAACGCAUUCUAUGAGGCCAGCAUUACCCUGGUACCAAAGCCAGACAUACACAUGACAAGAAAAGAAAACUACAGACCAAUAUUCCUUAUGAACACUGAUGCAAAAAACCUCAACAAAGUACUGGCAAACUUCAGCAGCAUAUUGAAAGGAUUAUACACUAUGACCAAGGGGAUUUAUUCCUGGAAUUCAAGGAUGGCUUAGUAUACAAAAAAAAAAAAAAUCAGUGUACUACACUAUACUAACAGCAUGAAGGAAGAAACUGCAUGAUCAUCUCAAUUGAUGCAGAAAAAGCAUUUGACAAAACAACACCCUUUCAUGAUAAAACCACUCAACAGAUUAGGACUGGAAGGCAACUACCUCAACAUAAUAGAAGCCAUUUAUGCAAAGCCCACAUCUAACACUGCUCAGUGAUGAAAGGCUGAAAACUUUUCCUGUAAAAUCAGGAAUAAGAGGCCGGGUGCGGUGGCUCACGCCUGUAAUCCCAGCACUUCAGGAGGCCAAGGCGAGUGGAUCAGCUGAAGUUGGGAGUUCAAGACCGGCCUAAGCAACAUGGAGAAACCAUGUCUCUACUAAAAACAGAAAACUAGCCAGGCGUGGUGGUGUACACCUGUAAUCCCAGCUACUCCGGAGGCUGCGACAGGAGAAUCGCUUGAACCCAGGAGGCAGAGGUUGUGGUGAGCCAAGAUCGCACCACUGCACUCCAGCCUGGGCAACAAGAGCAAUACUCCAUCUGAAAAAAAAUUAAAAUCAGGAAUAAGGCAAAAAUAUCCACUUUUGUCCCUUCUAUUAAGAUCUAGCCAGAGCAAUUAGGCAAGAAAAAUAAAAGGCAUCCAAAUGGAAAAGGGAGAAGUAAAAUUAUCUCUGUUUACAGAUUAUAUGAUCCUAUAUGAAGAAAAUCCUAAAGAUUCCACAAAAGAUCUGUUAGAACUAAUGAAUGAAUUCAGCAAAGCAGUAGGAUGCAAAGAACAAUCUGAAAAGGAAAUCAUGAAAACAAUUCCAUGUACAAUAGCAUAAAAAGAAUAAAACAAGAAUUAAGGCGGUGAAAGACUGGUACAAUGAAAGCUACAAAACAUUGCUGAAAGAAAUUACGACACAGAUAAAUGGAGAGACAUUUUGUGUUCAUGGGCUGGAAGACUUAAUAUGGUUAAGAUGUCAGUACUACCCAAAGCAAUCUACAGAUUUAAUGCAGUCCCUAUAAAAUCCCAAUGACAUUUUUUGCAGGAACAGAAAAACACCUUAAAAUUCAUUUGGAAUCUCAAGGGACCCUGACUAGCCAAAACAGUCUGAAAAAGAACAAAGUUUAAGGACUUUCACUUCCUGAUCUCAAAACUUUCUACACAGCUAUAGUAAGCAAUGUGGCACUGGCAUAAAGACAGACAUAGAAACCAAUGGGAUAGAAUAGUGAGCCCAGAAACAAACCCUUGCAUACAUGGCCAGAUGAUUUUUUAAUAAGGGUGCCAAGACCAUUCAGUGGGGAAAGGACAGUCUUUUUCAGCAAAUGAUGCUGGGAAUACUAGAUAUCCACACACAGAAAAAUAAAGUUUGGCCCUUACCUUACCACAGAUAGAUUCAAAAUGGAUCCAAGACCUAAAUGUAAGAUCCAAAACUAUAAAAUUCUAAGAAGAAAAUAAAGGGCAAAGCCAGGCACAGUGGCUCGUGCCUGUAAUGCCAGCACUUUGGGAGGCUGAGAAAGGAGGACUCAUCCCCCGAGGCCGGGUGUGGUGGCUCACACCUAUAAUCCCAGCACUUUGGGAGGCCGAGGCAGGUGGAUCACAAGGUCAAGAGAUCGAGACCAUCCUGGCCAAAGUGGUGAAACCCCAUCUCUACUAAAAAUACAAAAAUUGGCUGGGUGUGGUGGCAUGCGCUGGUAGUCCCAGCUACUCAGGAGGCUGAGGCAGGAGAAUCGCUUAAACCCAGGAGGUAGAUAGAGGUUGCAGUGAGCUGAGAUUGCACCACCGCACUGCAGCCUGGCAACAGCGAGACUCUGUCUCAAAAAAUAGGAGGACCUCUUGAGCCCAGGAGUUUGAAACCAACCUGGGCAACAGAGAGAGAGACCCUGUCUCUACAAUAAAUUUUAAAAUGAGCCAGGUGUGGUGGUGCACACCUGUAGUCCCAGUUAGGAGGCUGAGGUGGGAGGAUCACUUGAGUCCCAGAGUUUGAGGCUGCAGUGAGCUGUGAUUACACCACUGCACUCCAUCCUGGAUGACAGAGCAAGACCCUGUAGCAAAAAAAAAAAAAGAAAAAUAUAGGGCAAAAGCUUCGUAACACUGAAUUUGGCAAUGAUUUCUUGGAUAUGACACCAAAGGCCCAGGCAACAAAAGAAAAGAUAAAUUGGACAUCAUGAAAAUCAAAACAUUGCUUUCAUUAAAAGACACUGUCAGCAGAAGCUGGGCAUGGUGGCUCAUGCCUGUAAUCCUAGCACUUUGGGAGGCCGAGGCUGGUGGAUCACUUUGACCUCAGGAGUUGGAGACCAGCCUGGGCAACAUGGUGAAACCCCAUCUUUACAAAAAAACACAAAAAUUAGCCAGGCAUGGUGGCUCAUUCCUAUAGUCCCAGCUGCUUGCAGAGCUGAGGCAAGAGGAUCGCUUGAGCCCAGGAGGCAGAGGUUGCAGUGAGCCGAGAUUGUGCUACUGCACUCCAGCCUGGGUGACAGAGUGAGACUGUCUCAAAAAAAAAAAGAGUAGAAAGACAACCUACAAAAUGGGAGAAAAUA